GACGAACGCUGGCGGCGUGCUUAACACAUGCAAGUCGUACGGUAAGGCCCUUUCGGGGGUACACGAGUGGCGAACGGGGGAGUAACACGUGAGUAACCUGCCCACAACUUUGGGAUAACGCUAGGAAACUGGUGCUAAUACUGGAUAUGUGCUCCUGCUGCAUGGUGGGGGUUGGAAAGCUCCGGCGGUUGUGGAUGGACUUGCGGCCUAUCAGCUUGUUGGUGGGGUAGUGGCCUACCAAGGCGGCGACGGGUAGCCGGCCUGGGAGGGUGACCGGCCACAUUGGGACUGGGAUACGGCCCAGACUCCUACGGGAGGCAGCAGUGGGGAAUAUUGCACUAUGGGCGCGAGCCUGAUGCAGCAACGCCGCGUGCGGGAUGACGGCCUUCGGGUUGGAAUCCGCUUUCAGCAGGGACGGAGCUUUUUGUGACGGUACCUGCAGAAGAAGCACCGGCUAACUACGUG
rnacentral:rRNA from 1 species